rnacentral:rRNA from 1 species
AGAGUUUGAUCCUGGCUCAGAGCGAACGCUGGCGGCAUGCUUAACACAUGCAAGUCGCGCGGGAGGGGCAACCCUUCAGCGGCGGACGGGUGAGUAACGCGUGGGAAUCUGUCUCCGGGUGGGGGAUAACGAUGGGAACUAUCGCUAAUACCGCAUGACGCCUGAGGGCCAAAGCAGCAAUGCGCCUGGAGAGGAGCCCG